rnacentral:lncRNA from 1 species
AUUUACUGAGAGGAAGGAGAGGCUUAGAAUGUGGCUGUUGCACUGCCGUCAAACGUACUGCCUACCCCUUUGCGGAAAGGCCGAGAUGGAGACUCACCGGAAGUGAGGAUGGAGCAGCUAUACACUCGUAAAGCCCUUUUUAUGACUGCUGUGGGGCCCUGGAUACAGGUUCUACGCAACAGGCAGACAGUUCUUUGGUCUCCAUUUUUGAAUGGAGUGCUGCAAGAGAUGCCUGUCAUGUGGAGCAUCGUUCUGCAGUCAGACACCAGAGUUAAUAUGGUAAACGGUGUGACAUGUGUUCAAGUUAGAAAGAUAUAAUGAGGCUUUGCAGACGCCGCUGUCGCUUUUCGUCGCUUUUCGCCGCUUGCAGCAGACACGGUCAACCCCACCGUGUUCUUCAACAUCACAGCCGAUGGCGAGCCCUUGGGCUGCGUCUCCUUCAAGCUGUUUGCAGACAACGUUCCAAAGACAGCAGAAAACUUUCAUGCUCUGAGCACUGGGGAGAAAGGAUUUGGCUAUAAGGGUUCCUCCUUCACAGAAUUAUUCCAGGAUUCAUGUGCCAGGGUGGUAAUGUCAUCUGCCAUAAUGACACUGGUGG